GGUAACGCGGCCGAGCGGUUAAGGCGCUACGUUGGGGUCAACAGCCUUGAUAUAAUCUCGGGAUUCCGUGGUCCGAAAGGGUGUGAGUUCGAAUCUCACCGUUAUCA